CGUACACUCCUACGGGAGGCAGCAGUGGGGAAUAUUGCACAAUGGGCGCAAGCCUGAUGCAGCCAUGCCGCGUGUAUGAAGAAGGCCUUCGGGUUGUAAAGUACUUUCAGCGGGGAGGAAGGCGAUAAGGUUAAUAACCUUGUCGAUUGACGUUACCCGCAGAAGAAGCACCGGCUAACUCCGUGCCAGCAGCCGCGGUAAUACGGAGGGUGCAAGCGUUAAUCGGAAUUACUGGGCGUAAAGCGCACGCAGGCGGUCUGUCAAGUCGGAUGUGAAAUCCCCAGGCUCAACCUGGGAACUGCAUUCGAAACUGGCAGGCUAGAGUCUUGUAGAGGGGGGUAGAAUUCCAGGUGUAGCGGUGAAAUGCGUAGAGAUCUGGAGGAAUACCGGUGGCGAAGGCGGCCCCCUGGACAAAGACUGACGCUCAGGUGCGAAAGCGUGGGGAGCAAACAGGAUUAGAAACCCUUGUAGUCCCAU
rnacentral:rRNA from 1 species